AUGCAGAAGAGCCAGGGACCCAAGUCGACGGCGCGGCGGCGCCCCCUGCGCGUCCUCUCCGGCAACCGGACGCCCCACCCGGCGCCGCCCGGAUCCCUCCGCCGCAAGCCCCCCGCCGCCGCGGCCGCUCCCCCCUCCGCCGCCGCCGCCACCGCCGCCGCCGAGCCGGCGCUCGACCGCCUCCUCCUCGCCAGCUCCGCCCUCGGCGGCCUCGUCAACCAGAUUGACAAAUUGGUCUCCAGCGCCCUCCAAUGCCAGACUAUAUCCAGAAGAGGGGAACAAGAGAUAGAAUCCUUCAGUUGCUUCUUGUCAGACACUAAUUCUUCUUUGAAGCUAUGGGCUUCCAGACUUAAGCAAGCGCUUGAAGCUUCGCCAGCCAAAAGUGAAAAUGCCUCAAAGCACACCAUGGAGACCUGUUCAAAAUCUGCUGCAAAAGGGACUGACAAGUUGUUUCCUAGCAACAGCAUCUUACCUCCAGCAGGCCCGGCAGUAUCACCUUCACAAGACUUGGUCUGCAGCAGCAGCAACAACUUACCAGAGACUGACCUGAUUGUCUCGCCUUCACCUCUUGUUUCAUGGCGUACCGGGGCAUGCAUGGUCGACAGUGGGAAGCAGUUAUUUCUCUUGACACCAUUGCCAAAAUCAAAAGCACGCUCAUCCAUGUGCCCAAAAUCAUCAAAAGCACAGUUGACGACAACUGCCAGCAUGGAUGAGCUGAAUCUUCCCAAUUUACCUGUUUGGAAACUAACCAUUUCUGAUGACAGCAGCCCUGAUCUGGAGCAAAGUGUGAAAGGAAAGGAAGCAAGGGCUGGUGUCGCGACACCUCAUCCUAGCAAAGCAAAGAAAAGCUCAUCAGAAGACAAUCUAUUUUCGCCUUUUAGCUUCUCAAUUCAGAAGAGCAGGAGAGCACCACUGCCUACUCCAUGCCCGAAGACAGCAUUGCGAGGUAAGCAACAUGUGUUCUCACCGAUAUCGGAGGGCUCAAGUAAGGAUGACAUUCUCAGUGCUGGACCGGUUGAGAGUGACAAACCACCAUCUGGAGGCUCUGAUGAGAUGCUGUCUGAUGAGAAGGAUCUGGCAUCAAGAUAUCCAGACCUGUAUGGGUUUAAUCAACCUGCCGGAGACAGGCGCCGAAGGGAAGAAGCCGAUGUGGCACUUGAUUGGUUCUUGUCGCCCCUCAAGACCUGCGUGCUAAUGGAUCCAAGUCCAACAGAUGAUAAGCCCGUUCCCCUUCCAGCAAAGCAUAACAAAUCCUUGAUAGAAAGUCCUUGGGAAGGUUGGGAACGCAAUAAUAAGCUGGAGGGAAGACGGAAACUUUCAGAUUGCAACCCUAUCCAAACUCUGUCGGUGCAUAGCAAGGCCUUGGUUGGUACUCCCCUGAGAGGCCUGGAAAGCAAUAACCUGAAGGGAAAGCAGGAGCUUCCAGAUGACAAACUCAUCCAGACCCCAGCAGUGCAUAGCAGGGCCUUGGUUGGCACUCCCUGGAAAGGCCUGGAAAGCACCAACCUGAAGGGAAGGCACGCCGGCGAAACCACUCUCAAGAAGGAGCUCUGGGCAAGAUUCGAGGCGGUCUCGACCAACGAGCUGCACCUAGACAGGUCAGUCUUCCAGAAGCAAGAUGGGAGGAGAUUCAUCGACAUGCUCGAGGAGGCUGAAUGA
rnacentral:rRNA from 1 species